UACGGGGGGAGCAAGCGUUGUUCGGAUUUACUGGGCGUAAAGGGUGCGUAGGCGGUCGUGACAAGUCACUUGUGAAAUCUCCGGGCUUAACCCGGAGCGGUCAAGUGAUACUGUCGGACUAGAGUACAGAAGGGGCAACUGGAAUUCUCGGUGUAGCGGUGAAAUGCGUAGAUAUCGAGAGGAACACCUGCGGCGAAGGCGGGUUGCUGGGCUGAUACUGACGCUGAGGCGCGAAAGCCAGGGGAGCGAACAGG
rnacentral:rRNA from 1 species